GUGGGGAAUUUUGGACAAUGGGCGCAAGCCUGAUCCAGCAAUGCCGCGUGUGUGAAGAAGGCCUUCGGGUUGUAAAGCACUUUUGGCAGGAAAGAAAUAGUGCGUGCUAAUACCAUGCGCGAAUGACGGUACCUGCAGAAUAAGCACCGGCUAACUACGUGCCAGCAGCCGCGGUAAGACGUAGGGUGCAAGCGUUAAUCGGAAUUACUGGGCGUAAAGCGUGCGCAGGCGGUUUUGUAAGACAGGUGUGAAAUCCCCGGGCUCAACCUGGGAACUGCACUGGUGACUGCAAGGCUAGAGUGUGUCAGAGGGAGGUGGAAUUCCGCGUGUAGCAGUGAAAUGCGUAGAGAUGCGGAGGAACACCGAUGGCGAAGGCAGCCUCCUGGGAUAACACUGACGCUCAGGCACGAAAGCGUGGGGAGCAAACAGGAUUAGAAACCCUUGUAGUCC
rnacentral:rRNA from 1 species